GGCCACUGCUAUGGGGGUCCGACUAAGCCAUGCGAGUCAUGGGGCGCGCUCUGCGCGCACCGGCGGACGGCUCAGUAACACGUCGGUAACCUACCCUCGGGAGGGGGAUAACCCCGGGAAACUGGGGCUAAUCCCCCAUAGGCCUGAGGUACUGGAAGGUCCUCAGGCCGAAAGGGGCUUUCGCCCGCCCGAGGAUGGGCCGGCGGCCGAUUAGGUAGUUGGUGGGGUAACGGCCCACCAAGCCGAAGAUCGGUACGGGCCAUGAGAGUGGGAGCCCGGAGAUGGACACUGAGACACGGGUCCAGGCCCUACGGGGCGCAGCAGGCGCGAAACCUCCGCAAUGCGGGAAACCGCGACGGGGGGACCCCCAGUGCCGUGGCAUCGCCACGGCUUUUCCGGAGUGUAAAGAGCUCCGGGAAUAAGGGCUGGGCAAGGCCGGUGGCAGCCGCCGCGGUAAUACCGGCGGCCCGAGUGGUGGCCGCUAUUAUUGGGCCUAAAGCGUCCGUAGCCGGGCCCGUAAGUCCCUGGCGAAAUCCCACGGCUCAACCGUGGGGCUUGCUGGGGAUACUGCGGGCCUUGGGACCGGGAGAGGCCGGGGGUACUCCUGGGGUAGGGGUGAAAUCCUAUAAUCCCAGGAGGACCGCCAGUGGCGAAGGCGCCCGGCUGGAACGGGUCCGACGGUGAGGGACGAAGGCCAGGGGAGCGAACCGGAUUAGAUACCCGGGUAGUCCUGGCUGUAAAGGAUGCGGGCUAGGUGUCGGGCGAGCUUCGAGCUCGCCCGGUGCCGAAGGGAAGCCGUUAAGCCCGCCGCCUGGGGAGUACGGCCGCAAGGCUGAAACUUAAAGGAAUUGGCGGGGGAGCACUACAAGGGGUGGAGCGUGCGGUUUAAUUGGAUUCAACGCCGGGAACCUCACCGGGGGCGACGGCAGGAUGAAGGCCAGGCUGAAGGUCUUGCCGGACACGCCGAGAGGAGGUGCAUGGCCGCCGUCAGCUCGUACCGUGAGGCGUCCACUUAAGUGUGGUAACGAGCGAGACCCGCGCCCCCAGUUGCCAAUCCUCCCCGCUGGGGAAGAGGCACUCUGGGGGGACCGCCGGCGAUAAGCCGGAGGAAGGAGCGGGCGACGGUAGGUCAGUAUGCCCCGAAACCCCGGGCUACACGCGCGCUACAAUGGGCGGGACA
rnacentral:rRNA from 1 species